rnacentral:rRNA from 1 species
CUUAAGCCAUGCGAGUCAUUGCGCAGCAAGGCAGACGGCUCAGUAACACGUAGUCAACCUACCCUGUGGACGGGGAUAACCUCGGGAAACUGAGAAUAAUACCCGAUAGGCCAUCAUGCCUGGAACGGUUCAUGGCCCAAAUGAUUCAUCGCCGCAGGAUGGGACUGCGUUCUAUCAGCUUGUUGGUGAGGUAAUGGCCCACCAAGGCUAUAACAGAUACGGGCUCUGAGAGGAGAAGCCCGGAGAUGGGUACUGAGACACGGACCCAGGCCCUAUGGGGCGCAGCAGGCGAGAAACCUUUGCAAUGUGCGAAAGCACGACAAGGUUAAUCCGAGUGGUCCCCUUUACGGGGAUCUUUUACCGGUCCUAAAAGCACCGGAGAAUAAGGGGUGGGCAAGUUCUGGUGUCAGCCGCCGCGGUAAAACCAGCACCUCGAGUGGUCAGGAGGAUUAUUGGGCCUAAAGCAUCCGUAGCCGGCCGUGUAAGUUUUCGGUUAAAUCCAUGUGCUCAACACAUGGGCUGCCGGGAAUACUGCACAGCUAGGGAGUGGGAGAGGUAGACGGUACUCGGNAGGAAGGGGUAAAAUCCUGUGAUCUGCC